UGCACGGCUCGUUCCCACAGGCCUCCUGC
rnacentral:sRNA from 1 species